rnacentral:sRNA from 1 species
AGUCAAGAUAAAGAGAACACACUACAAAUUGUCCUUAUCGUUGUGGCAGCAGUUGGUUGGUUUGUUGCUUUGACAGCUCUGGUAACAGUGAUUAUCGUAUGUUUACGAACUAAACAGAACAAGGGAUCUCAAGCUAUUGAAGAAACAAAUAAGGAAAGAAACAAAGAGUCUGUGAUGUCAUUGAAUGACAUUUUGUCCAAACAGUCUAGCACAGCAACCAAAAAUGAGUACAACCCCAUGUCUGAGUCUACCCAAGCAUUAACAGAAGACGAUAUAUAUAUCAAUGGAAGAGAAGUCCAUCUGAAGAAACAACCAGUUCUCCAUCUAGACACUAGCCGGGAAUCGAACCAACAUCCAA